rnacentral:snoRNA from 1 species
CACUGAAAUGAUGAGUUUGCUCAUGUCUCUUCUCUGACAUCUUGCUGGAGAGAAUGUAAACACCUCUGAUCGCUUCAUG